rnacentral:rRNA from 1 species
AGUGAACGCUGGCGGUAGGCCUAACACAUGCAAGUCGAACGGCAGCACAGUAAGCGCUUGCUCUUACGGGUGGCGAGUGGCGGACGGGUGAGGAAUACAUCGGAAUCUACUUUUUCGUGGGGGAUAACGUAGGGACACAUACGCUAAUACCGCAUACUACCUACGGGUGAAAGCAGGGGAUCUUCGCACCUUUCGCGAUUGUAUGAGCCGAUGUCGGAUUAGCUAGUUGGCGGGGUAAAGGCCCACCAAGGCGACGAUCCGUAGCUGGUCUGAGAGGAUGAUCAGCCACACUGGAACUGAGACACGGUCCAGACUCCUACGGGAGGCAGCAGUGGGGAAUAUUCGACAAUGGGCGAAAGCCUGAUCCAGCCAUGCCGCGUGGGUGAAGAAGGCCUUCGGGUUGUAAAGCCCUGUUGUUAGGAAAGAAAAGCAGCGUGUUAAUACCCCGCUGUUCUGACGGUACCCAAAGAAUAAGCACCGGCUAACUUCGUG